CUUAACAGGAAACGGUGACCCUAUUUAAUCUUUUUUUUUUACAUUUUGACUGAUUAGUACAAAAAUAUGCAUCGGAGCUAACCUUUAUUAUACCACUCAUAAAUAAACCAAGAGGUAAAGGCUGAGGUAGACCAGCAGCCCCGUUCUCUUUAAGAUAAAAGGACCAAAUCUGAGCCCUACUUUUACACAUCUGAGGGUCUGAAAUAUCCACAGGUACAAAAAUGAAAAGCUGAGGUGACCUUUUCUUCACCAAAGUCUGAAAACAAUUUAAAUAAACUGACCGUUCAAGGCUACGUUAGACCCACAGCUCCUAUGCUCUACACGGUAAAUGAGUGUUUAUGUCAAUGAGGUCAGGUUGUUUUAUAAACCUGGGUCUCAUUUUGAUCUCAAAGUAGAAACUCUUGCACUUCAGCCGCUCCACAAAUGGAGGUCUGCGUUCUCAGAGAAGGACUUUAGACGUUCAAAAUGUAACCCGGUGUUUUCCUUCUCUCGAAGCAGAGUACAAAGAAAGGACUGAAUCCCUGAAAGCAAAUUUAUUUUGGUGCGUUUUGACCCACUCCAUUCCUGAGGUUUCCUGUUUAUAUUCUUUCCUCGUUGUGUCCUUAAAACAUUUUUUGGAUGGAAUAUUUUACAGCAUUACAUUCAAUUUAAGAAUAUGAAAUGAACACACAAAAUAAAGAACACUGGAAAGUCAAAGAUUCUGCUUAAUGGACUCGUCCACCGAUCCAAACCAGGUUUUAGCUUUUGAACAAACUCUUGUAUCUUGUAACUUGUAUUUAUUGUGACAGGUCACUUAUUUUAAGACAAACUAAGUUUAUACACCCUAUAUGCUGAUAGGUCAAAGGUCAUUUAGAACACCUUUGUGUUGACGUCAUUUCACCUGUAGGUGUUCACAGCAUGAUGUCGUGUUCAUGUCGUCUCUUUUUUUCAUCUUUUGGUGUGUCGCCUGAUAUUUGUCACUGUCUCUCUGCCUCGUCUCUGCAGGGGGAUGCUGGUGGCCCCGCCCACCCGGGGCUGGUUCCAGCCAAUCAGGUGCUAAUGUGCGGGAACAGGAGAGGGCUGAGCUGACAGAUGGCGGGCUGACCUGGAAAACCUGCCCCCUUUUCAGGGUUCAGCAGUCGGCAGAUGACAGCAGCACAGCAUCUAUGAAAAGCAAAGAAGAAGAGACGAGGAGGUAAUCAUCUCUGAUCUAUUCUUCUUUUCUGUUUGAGAUUUUAAGAUGUUAGUCUCACAACGUGUUGUAUUCCCUGAUGGGUCAGAAAAAAAAGCCCAAAGUUGAAAAUCCAGCCGGAAAAAAAAGAGAAUAGGUUACAUACAUAUUACCCAUCUUUAAAUAUCGCUGCAGUUUUAUUGCAAACUAAUGACAUGCUGGUUUAGAAACGGGAGAAAUAACCACAAAUGAUUUUUUAUUUUUAGGGCUUUUUCCAUCUUUAUUGGAGAGAGGACAGUGGAUAGAGUCAGAAAUCAGGGAGAGGGAGAGAGAGGAGCCAGAGGUCGGAUUCAAACCCGGGCCGCCCCCUUGGAGGUGUGCCGCCUCAGUACAUGGUGUUUGUCAGUGAAUGUGCAGAGGGCUGAGAACCUACACAGUCAUAUCUGAGCCGUGUAAUCCGUCCGUCUGACCGCGUGUGUCCCGCCUCCAUAAAGCGGCUUGUAAUCCCGCGUUCAGCCAGCAGGAGCCUUAAUUGAAAUAAUCCCUGCCGGUGCUGCACGGAGCCGCGGCUGCAGCCAGUUUCAUGAUGGGUCCAGUUUAACCCACUGUGUGACUCUGACCUUUCCCUCGCCGCUCGCUGGGACCAUCUGAACCCGUCCCAGUAAGGACAUCUGGUGGGAUACUGGGGAGGUCGUUUGAUCCGCCCGACUGCUCCCAGAGGCCUCUCACACCCUGACACGCUUACUGUACCAGACUGAGGGACAGAAAUACAGUUUGAUGUAACAGGAAGGAAGGAGGGAGAUUUUUUUAUUUUAUUUAUUUAACACUUCAACUGUGAAGUCCUAAAUUUCAAAUCAUAAAGAUGGAGCGAGGUUGAUACUGAAGUGUGUGCAAAAGACAAAUGAAUCCAGGUAAGUCAUGUCUUUAUGUCAUGCAAAACAACAUGCAGACAUAAUGAAUCUACAAUAAGAAUAAUCAAAUCCUUGAAUUAACAGGUUAAUCCUGGGGUAAGAAACAUGUCCGACAGAGUAAUCUAAAUCAGCUCUUAAAUGAAACUUUCAAAUAAAAGCGUUGGGUCUGACACCUCCUCGCUCUCUAUGAAUGUUUUACAUCUCUGCACAUAAACUGUGAGACAGAAGAGAAACCUACACAGUGCCUGUUUUUUAAAAAAGAUUUCAAACAUAGCCGCAGUGUUGAAACAGCCGUGUUUAUAUACGCCAUCACCUCAGAGUUAUUAUCCUGCGUGCUCCUCUCUAAUGAACGUCUUUUAUCUCUCUCUGUAUUUAGAGAUUCUGCGUCUGAAUGGAUCUGCUCGCCCUCCUUUUCCUGCCACUGUAUCUCAAACAGCGCGUUAACAUCUGCAGCCCAUUUAGUGCUGCUGACACUGGGCUAAUAACAGUGUGUGUGUGUGUGUGUGUGUGUGUGUGUGUGUGUGUGUGUGUGUGUGUGUGUGUGUGUGUGUGUGUGUGUGUGUGUUAGCGUGUAGCAGCCAACAAGCACAGCUGAAAGGUGUCACCGAGGCUCCUACGCCUCCUCUAACAGCUACUGAUUCAGGGGGCGCUUGCUUUUUUUUCGUUUUUUCUUCUGUUUUUUUUUUUUUUGUGCGGCUUUAAAGGAACAUUCCUCAGGAAUUCUGCAUUUGUUGGACAUCCAGUUUCCUGUAUUUAUUGGUGAGUUUUUUGAGGAAUCAGAAGGUGGCUGCCGCCACCGCAGACACCUGAGGGACUAUUUUCUCUUAAAAAAGAUGUGAUGAGGCUGCAGAUGGAGAGGAGGGGUGUGCGUUUACAACAUCAUUCCUCUCCUCUCUCUUCAUUGUUAUCCUUACAUUUUGAAUUAUUGAUCUUUUACAAACAUUUUUCAAGGUAUCUUAAUUACUCGCAAAAGAAGCGGCGCCUUGGCUGGCGGACAACACAAAUAAGUUAAUUUGCAUUUCUGUGUUGUGAGUGUUUUGGCAGGCGCCGCACCGGUCCAGAUUGUAACCCCUAUUUCUGCCUCCAAAAACCUGCCUUGGAGGAGCGUCCACGGAGGGAUUAGGGAUUUAGUGGGGAAGGUAAGUGUGACUACAAGCUUUGGCUCGCCAUCUGCUCCCCAGCAGAGUUGAGGCCAACCUGUGCAGCCUGCAGCAAAGACCUGGGCACUGUGCUAACUCUGGUUGGAGCCAACCUGGCGCCCGCGGCCCCAAUCACCAACAGUCUGCUGAUUAGUUGUAAGAAGCACUCCAUAUGUAGCAAAGUUUUCUCCCUCCCUGUCUCCUUCCCUUCCUUCCUCUCUUCCUUGUGUAUUCUCUCGCCGCAUUAAAUAAAUAUGGAUGUAUGGAGGGUUUCUUCCCCCUCCGGUUGUCUGGCAGGGUGAAAACGAGCCUCCUCUUCUCGCCUUUUCUCCCUCUCACCUCUGACAGAAUCACCGCGCCAGAAAAAGAAGAAGAAGAAGAAGAAAUCCUGGCUGUCCUCCUCUCUUCUUCUUCCCCUCCCUCGCUCUCGUUUGCCUGGCAGCGCCGGGAGACAGAUGACAAGGGUUUGUGGCCGUCUGAUCACCCCUGGGUGGGUAUUUUCUAAUUUAUUUAACGGCAGCUUAUUAAAGAAAAAACAAGAUGAAGGGGAAGAAAAAAGGAGAGGAAGGAUGCAGGUCUCUCGCCCCGGUGGCCACGGGAGUCGACCCAGCCAAGGAAGCACCAACGAAGAAGAAGAAGAGGCUGCACGGACUCCCUCGGUAGAAACCAGAGAAGAUCAAACGACACCAGAGGAGGAAAAGAAAACACACAAGAAACAUAAUGCUCAUUAUUAAAUUGCAGCCACUCCUGUUGCCAGGAACCUAUUUCUCAGUAUUAAUUAUUCAUAUUUUAUUUCAGUAAUCCAAUACUCAGGUGAGAGCCGCUGCUCUUGAUAAAACAUGUAAUUUCGAAGCUUAAUGGCAGCCGGGCGGCCUCGGCGAGGGAUUAGAAAGCGAGAAUAAAUCACUAAUGGCUGCGGCGGCUUGAAUCCGUCUUGCUUUGUGUUUACUUGUGUUUUAUUGUUGCUCCGAGGGAAACACUCUGCCGUGACCUUUCUGCACAAGUUGAGACACAAGACAGAGAAGAAAAAGGAGGGGAGGAGAUAAAAAAUCACGCUUUCCAGGCAAAAUGAGACGGCGUGAUUUCCUGAUUCGUCUAAACAAAGAGUUCAUCAGCUGCCUCUCCUCCCCGACGAUGGACGGCACACAGCAGAGCGGGCCUGACAUGUUUUGCAAAUGCACACGCGGCCUGAUUCAUACAAAUUAUGUUUUUCAAGAAGGAAAGCACCAUCACUUACUUUUUGAUCCGAUUAGCCGGAUUCUGCUCAUUUUCCUCCUCCCUCUGUGUGAAAUUCAUCUCCUCUUCACACACAAACACCUCCGUUUGUCUGCAGCCAAACUUCUCCUCCAUAAUAACAACGAAUGGGCCGGCAGGAUCUUUGGUCAGGAUUAUAAACACGGUGUUAACUGUACAGCCUGGGGCGGUGUCUUUUUCUUAUUUUAUGCUCCAACAUAAAUGUCUCUGUCAGCUUCUCCUCCAUCGCUCUUAGACGGGCUGACAGCACACGAGGCGUUCACUGCCUCUCUGGAAAAGAGAAACACAGGAUUAUGAGGGGCAGACAUGUUGGAUUUUGGUAACUGUAUUAUUGAGAGUAACAUCUCUGAAGCAGAAUCAUGGCACAGCGGGAGCUGCACAUACACACACAGGCAGACAUGAACGCACACACAGCGCUGUGCUCUCCCACUGGCUCCGCUGAAACCAUCUUGCCUCUGUAACAGCACUGUUACCACCUCAGAAGACGGUGCAGGAGGGGGGAUCACUGCGACCCCCUAUCACGCCUCUGCGACAUUCAGAUCGAAGGUGAAACAUCACAGAAGAAGAAGAAAUCCUGUCUGAAGAAAUCUCUUCUUGUUUGCAAGAAUUGUGACCAUAUGUCGGAUUACCUGCUGUCCAGGUUUCCAAACCUGAGCGCCGCCACCGCUAAAAGAAUGACCUGAAACCCUUAAACCCAGACCAUUAAACCAUUACUAACUGCAAAGUGGUGUAUCGGUGUUACCGUCUUCUCCUCUGUGUUUCCUCUCUCUCUCUGUGCUGUAAAGCACUUUGGAUCAUCAGUUGUAUUUUGUGGUUUUCUUUUUCGGGUAGCAUCAUCUAAAAUCUUUUGAGGGCCAAUGUAUAGUGGUAAUAAUCUUAACCAAACUUAACCCGGUCAAAUCAUAAAUCAGUUUAUGUGUAGCUUACCUGAAGUCGAUCACCUCCACCCUCAGUUCACCGUGAGCAACUUCAGGCAUGAUUAGACGAACGUUACUUUGGGUUAUAAUUCAUUAAGAUUUGCUAAUAUAAAUGUAAAAGUGAAAAGAAAAGGAACUCAUUUAAUUUAUUGUCCUUCUCAAACUGAUUUAUAAACAAUAGAAGUCUUAUUCUUUCUCACAGUAAACACCCCUCUGUAAUCUCCUCCAAUGGUAUAUUCCAACUCCCCUCCACUAGAAAGCCCAUUGGAUGCUUUCACUUCCUGUUUGACUGUUUGAAGUUUGGACACCUGGACAGUGGAAGGAGCUCGCUGUCAUCACGUCCGUCUGCAGCGUCACACCAGACGUUCCGCCCAUCCGUCGGCUUCCACCAAUCGGAGUUGGUUUCGGAUAAAACUCUCGGCCUCCUGUGUGAAAGUCCUGCGUUGUUUUUCUCAUCGAGCGCCCCCACCUGGCGGGCGGCCCAAACAGCCUCAGGCAGAAGCACCAGGCCUCCUUCACGUCAGCUCCGUGUCAUCGGAGCGACCGUGACGCCGCAGCAGAGCCAACGUGACGGGCUGCCUUUUUUUGUCUCGUGCAGUCAUGACGUGGCGUCCGGCCGGAGGACGAGUGUAAUCGCUCGGACAGGUGACACUUCUGAGGAAACCAGAAGAUGACGGGGAGACGACUCGGAUCGGGUGACCUGCACCUCACACGCCGCCUCCAGAACUGCGUCAGAGGAGAAGAGGAAUACAGCAGCAGUUCAGUGACAUGAUAAAGACGAGAACACGGUCACAGGACUCCUGUGGAGGCGAGUUAUAAAAAGACAAACGAGCUCCUGUCACACCCGUCUCGUACUCCUCCUCUCUGAGUUCAAGGUCGCCGUGCGGCUAUUUCCAGCUCGUCUUCACUUUGAUCUGUGUCGCAAAAUGACAAGGAGAGGACGUUCCUGAGGAGGAGCAGCUGAGCUCCAAAGACCUAUUUUUUUUAACCUGCCGCAGGCGUCUCGGUCACCGGCGACGAGCGGAGCAAAUACGAGGAGGACAUCAGCACCCUGUACAAACAGCUGGAUGACAAGGAUGAUGAGAUCAACCAACACAGUCAGCUGGCUGAGAAACUCAAGGAGCAGACAAAAAAGAGGAGGAGGUGAAGGAGGUGCUGCAGGAGCGAGAUCGGACCAACCUGCAGCUGGCAGAGGAGCUGCAGCACAAGACGGACUCUCGUCUGCACAGAAGUGACACCUGAACGUUACACAGACGGAGCAUCACAGGAAGGGCUCAUCUGAGGCCGUGAGCGUCUUCGUCCCCCCCUGGGUGUCUGAGAGCAGAGCCGGGUCUGAGAUGGCAUUUGGUGGUUCACAGCUUCUGUACCUCCUGGGUUUCUGUAGCUCCACCCGUCCCUCCGUCACAGAGACGUCUUCUGACGGUGUGAACGCUCCGUCCUGAUGUGAUUUUGACAGUGUGACUCUGGGGUCGUGGCAGAUAUUCAGCAGGAAACCGGAAGUAUUCGUCGAACAGUUCAGGGACCGAAUGCCGAACAAAGAAGGCCGUCUCAUUCAGCGGUGGGAGACGGUCCUUCACUGAGCUGCGACUCUGUGUUAAAGAAUCAUCUGUUAUUAUGUGGUCGAAGUAAGAGCUUUGCUCAUAAAGACAGACCUAUAGGUAGGUUAUCUAUACAGUGUUGUUACUUAGGCCUAAGUCUGAGGGGGCUCAGUAUGUUGUCUGUAAAGUUGUUGGUUUGUAACUGUCAGACUGUUUGGAGGUUAACUCCUCCAGCUCUUUAAAUAAAUAUAUUUUGUUUACAAA